rnacentral:rRNA from 1 species
GAUGAACGCUGGCGGCGUGCCUAAUACAUGCAAGUCGAGCGAACGGACGAGAGGCUUGCUUCUCUGAUGUUAGCGGCGGACGGGUGAGUAACACGUGGAUAACCUACCUAUAAGACUGGGAUAACUUCGGGAAACCGGAGCUAGUACCGGAUGAUAUUUUGAACCGCAUGGUUCAAAAGUGAAAGACGGUCUUGCUGUCACUUAUAGAUGGAUCCGCGCUGCAUUAGCUAGUUGGUAAGGUAACGGCUUACCAAGGCAACGAUGCAUAGCCGACCUGAGAGGGUGAUCGGCCACACUGGAACUGAGACACGGUCCAGACUCCUACGGGAGGCAGCAGUAGGGAAUCUUCCGCAAUGGGCGAAAGCCUGACGGAGCAACGCCGCGUGAGUGAUGAAGGUCUUCGGAUCGUAAAACUCUGUUAUUAGGGAAGAACAUAUGUGUAAGUAACUGUGCACAUCUUGACGGUACCUAAUCAGAAAGCCACGGCUAACUACGUG